AACGUAGGAGACAAACGUUAUCCGGAGUUACUGGGCGUAAAGGGCGUGUAGGCGGUUAGUUAAGUCUGGCGUGAAAGCUCUCGGCUAAACCGGGAGAGGUCGUCGGAUACUGGCAAACUAGAGGACGGUAGAGGCGUGUGGAAUUCCGGGUGUAGUGGUGAAAUGCGUAGAGAUCCGGAGGAACACCAGUGGCGAAGGCGACACGCUGGGCCGUACCUGACGCUAAAGCGCGACAGCAUGGGGAGCAAACAGG
rnacentral:rRNA from 1 species